GCUGCCUGUUGCCACCACGAGAGGUGGGGACUCAGGCGGGACCGCCGGUGACAAACCGGAGGAAGGUGGGGACGACGUCAAGUCAUCAUGGCCCUUAUGUCCUGGGCUACACACGUGCUACAAUGGCCGGUACAGAGCGCAGCGAGGCCGCGAGGCGGAGCGAAUCGCUUAAAGCCGGUCCCAGUACGGAUUGGAGUCUGCAACCCGACUCCAUGAAGUUGGAAUCGCUAGUAAUCGCGCAUCAGCAUGGCGCGGUGAAUACGUUCCCGGGCCUU
rnacentral:rRNA from 1 species